rnacentral:lncRNA from 1 species
AAGUGGUCAGUGGCUAGGGAUCCUUUCCUUUUCUUUGCCCUCCUCUGUCCCCCCGUACCCCACUAUUCAUGUGGUUUAAAGGGUAGCAUGAAGACUUAACGAUCUGGGUUUGAAUUAGGAGGAUGCUGAUGUACUUUGUGCCUGGUUAUACGAGAGUGCGUUUUCUCUCUGCUCCUCUUGAGGGCGCGUCUUUCUGUUUCAUUUCACAAUGUUACCACUUUCUUGUUUCUCUAAACACUAGGUGGUGAGUGUGUGAAAGUAAGGUUAUGUAUAUGAUUAUUUAAAAUAAAUGCACUCAAAUCAGUUUGGGGACAGCCCUAAAAAUACUGGCGAUGCUCUG